UCCGGAGGCGCGGGGUGCCGGGACACGUUCCCGGCUGAGAGCACACCCGUCGAACCUGCCCUAGUUAGCACUAGCGAAGGAACGCCAUGAGCGCGUACA
rnacentral:ncRNA from 2 species